GGUGGUAGCAAAUAUUCAAGUGAGAACCUUGAAGCCGAAGUGGAGAAGAGUUCCAUGGGAGCGGCAGUUGGCCAUGGGUCAGGAGGUCCUAAGCGAUCCGAUGACUCGGUACAGAGUCGUUGGGGUCCCUUAUACGUUUCUGUGUUGCUCUCAUUAUUUGAAGCAUUUGUGUGGGUGCUGGCAGCCCCUCGGAGCGAAAGGGAAUCGGGUUAAUAUUCCCGACCAUGCCCACGGAGUUAGGUCCUGCUUGUGUGCUUGUAUCGUUUCGGUGCGAGUUACUGACAUCAUCAAGCGCGGCAACGCAAAAGAACUCGGAGACGUCGGUAAGAGUUCCGGGAAGAGUUUUCUUUUCUUUGCAAGGACGGCUACCACCCCUGGAAUCGGGUUGUCCGGAGAUAGGGGUUUCGCCUCCGUUAAGCACCACCCCUCUUGUGGUGUCCGGUACGCUCUUUUUCUUCCCUUGAAAAUCCGAGGGAGGCAUUGUGAUUUUCGCGGCAGGCCGUACCCAUAUCAGCAUCAGGUCUCCAAGAUGAAGAGCAUCUGGCA
rnacentral:ncRNA from 1 species